rnacentral:lncRNA from 1 species
AGGGGGCUGCAGAGCCUCCCACUCUGAUCAUGCAUGAGGUUCUUCCUGCCAUCUGCCAUCAUUUGUUUUUGUGUUUUGCAGCCAAGACUGACCAUGAGGAACCCUUGGACCUCAGGAAGGACAGAGUGGCCCAGAAGCAGGGACAGGGAGCUGGUUGGGGAGGACCAGAAAUCAGAAGAUCACCCUUUCUGCGAGAAUGGCUCUCGACAACUGGUUCUAUGCUCAAGCCUUGUGGAGGGAGAUGGCAGAGAGAAAGGCUGCCUGCAAGCAGUGCAGGUAGGUAAUUGUGAUGGAUAUUUCAAAGAAUAUUUUUGUUUUAAGAUGAAGUUUUAAGUGUCUAGUAAAGACUUUGGUGUUUUAAUUCUUCUUCAAGUCAAUUCUUUCUCUGUCUUCAAGAUGGAAAUGAUGGAAAAACAGAGUGUGCCAGAGAGACACAUGAGUCAGGAGCCAGCUCAAAGUCAAUGGGGCCUAGAAAACCCUUUCUGGAGAGGUAGGAGCUCGCGUGAAGGCAGCUACUUAACUUCUGCUGCACAAUCCACACACCGUGCUUCUCCUUUUGGAG